UCAGGAAAAGUAGAAUCUAUUAAAUUAGAAUCUUUAACAAUAUCUAAUUUGUAAAUAUGACAGGUUGUAGGGCAAUUUCAACAGCAAGAAGGGACUGAAAAUACUUAGAUUACACAGGUAAUUAUAAUAGUU